ensembl:lncRNA
UAAACCUGGUUCUUUGUGGGACUGGAAAAGGUUCUCCUGGACUUGGAAUCCUGGACACAUCCAGAACUUGCAUUAGUUUCAUUUGUGUCUCACAAAAACGGCUCAUCUUACCCCACCCUCUCCUGUUCCACAAGUAGGGUGUGUGUUUUUAUUUUUCAGGUGAUUUCUCAGGGGAAUAUUCUUCAUCAUUUCACAUGUGCAAUUUGGGGUGAUAACAUGUUGAAAUGUACCUUUAAUUCUUUUCCAAGUCGGAACAGAUAAUCACAUGUAUUUAAAAAAAAAAAAAGUCUCCUGUAAUAGUCAUAACGAUUUUCCCGUUUAAGAUCAUGUGACAUGUCGAGUCCACUGAGUUUCGUUUUCCUUUCCUCCCUCCUCGUGAAGUUGCGCAACAUGUUUCCAUUAAAAGCCUGAGAUCUCACUGAGCCUGCUGAAAGGAGGAACAUGGCAGAGAACCGGGUGAGGGACAUGUACGAGGGAGUAAACCCAACUAAAAUGACUGAACAAGAGAAAAAAGCGCACAUAGCGAGAACUCUUCAUGAAAACCCAGAUGUUCUGUUUAGAAUAUAUUGCCAGGGCAGACUGCAUAUGGUCCUCUUGAGGCCAACUAACCCUGGGGAGUGGACGAGGGUGAUUCUGAGCAGGAUCACAACCAACCUGUCUUUUCAGAUGACUAAGAAACGUGGCGUAAACGACAUCUUCAAAAUCACCAUGUCUGGUACUCAAGAGGAGCUUGGACGUCUCUGUGAUGAUUUUGAUCGGCUCUAUGUCGAGGUCAUGACAAACAGUCAGGAUGGAGGAGCAGCAGCACAGAGGAACCCAGAGGAUGAUGUUGAGGAGCUCAGAGCGAGAAUCAAAGAGCUGGAGCUGGAGAACAAGAAGCUUCAGAAGCGGUAGAUGUGAGUUCAAACCAGGAUGUGUCCUAGUGAGGUCCAAUCCAAGCCCCAUAUACCUACUGCUGGUCUCCUUUCAUCACUGCAGUGGGAGUGGAUGAAGUUGUGCAUAAAUAUAUUAUUAGAACUAUAUUAUUAACUGUCAUUUUCAAAAUCCCUACGCCGAAUACUGAAAAAUGUCCUACGCAUACCAGAUCAUCUGAUACGUAUACUUCAUCCUUUUAUUUCUAGAAGAGACGAAUAUUCGUUUAGCUAAGACUCAGCACUAGAUUCCCAGAUAGCAGACUAACACUGAAUCAACAUUGAAUCAACACUGAAUCAAAACUGAAUCAAUACUGAAUCAACACUGAAUCAACACUGAAUCAACAUUGAAUCAACAUUGAAUCAAUACUGAAUCAAAACUGAAUCAACACUGAAUCAACAUUGAAUCAAUACUGGAUCAACGUUAAUGCAUCAACCAUAUUAUCAUUGAGUCAGUGUUGAAAUUUGAAAUUAGAUUUUUUAUCAGAUUUGCACAUUGAAACGAUGAAAAACAGAUCAAGACGGACAAAAUAUAUAUCAAUAUUUGUUCAACUAGAUGGAAGGGUCAUGAGGUCACAAAAUGAACAGGAUUCAUCCUAUGAGGAGCACAAAUAUGCUCACUAAAUUUCAUGGAAACGCAUCCAGUUGAUUUGCGUUGUGUUGAAUGAGGGGACAUUAAAUCUAAGCCCCACCAGUGGGGAAAUGAAGCUGACCAGAAAAUCAACACUGAUUCACUGUUUGUCUUUUCAACACUGAAUCAACACUGAAUCAACACUGAUUCACUGUUUGUCUUCUCAACGCUGAAUCAACACUGAUUCACUGUUUGUCUUAUCAACACUGAAUCAACACUGAAUCAACACUGAUUCACUGUUUGUCUUUUCAACACUGAAUCAACACUGAAUCAACACUGAUUCACUGUUUGUCUUUUCAACACUGAAAAGCUAAUGAAUUAUCAACGUUGAUUCAAUAUUAUUUAGUACUGAAUAUUCAACCUCAACCAAAAUGAUGAUUCUGAUGGAAUUUCAACAUUGAAUCAAUGUCAUCUUGCUAUCUGGGUUUAAUCUGACUCAUGCAUUAUGUAUAUGUUUGUUUGUUUGUUUGUUUGUUUGCUAUAAAGUCUUAACAGCCUUCAUGCUGUUAUAUCACCUAGAAAUAGAAUUAAAACCUCUAUUUUAUUUAUUUCAUUGUAUUUUAGAAUAUAUUUUCCAAGUACUUUUUCUUACAUUUAAUGAACAUUUAAUAACAUUUAAUGUUUAUUUUAAUAAAGAGUUAAUAAAGUGACUUUUAUAACGAUUUUACAGACCUUUCAAUCAACUCUACACGUCAGUAACUACCAAAUUGUUUUUGUUUUUAUUAUUGUGCAUGUACACGCAUUUGGCCAGUAGAUGGCGCCAUCAGUAAGUAUUCACCACCUUUGAACUUUUCCACAUUUUCUAUUGUUAAACCCAAGACCUGAAAUGGAUUUAACUGAGAUCAUAUGUUCAGUAUUUGCCUUCCAUAACACAUUUUGUCAGUAGUUGACUUCAUGGCACUUAGUUUUUAGCCCCAAAUGGCAUAACAUAGACUAGAUUAUUAUUUUUUUCAAUCUUUCAUUUCAAUUCAACAAGACGAUUAUAUUUUAGAAGAGGAUUACUGAAAUCAUUUGACAGAAACUUUAUUGGACAUCCCUG